UACGGAGGGUGCGAGCGUUGUCCGGAAUCACUGGGCGUAAAGGGCGCGUAGGCGGCCUGAUAAGUAGGGGGUGAAAUCCUGCGGCUUAACCGCAGGGCUGCCUUCUAAACUGUCAGGCUAGAGCACAGUAGAGGCAGGUGGAAUUCCCGGUGUAGCGGUGGAAUGCGUAGAGAUCGGGAAGAACAUCAGUGGCGAAGGCGGCCCGCUGGGCUGUUGCUGACGCUGAGGUGCGAAAGCGUGGGGAGCGAACAGG
rnacentral:rRNA from 1 species